GUCCCCAGAGGAAAUAAAUGGAUUGUUGAUCUUUAUAAAAUGAAGACUUUUUUUUGUUCCCAUGCCCAGCACCAGCAGCUGCUCUCUCUCUGGACAUGAUGAACUCUGUUGCAACGUGACACAACACAGGGCCUGCCCACCUUGCCAGGGAACAAUUCCUAAUUCCCAAGAUCCCAUCCAGCCCUGCCCUCUGGCACUGGGAGCCAUUCCCUGGGUCCUGUCCCUCCAGCCCUUGGCAAUUGUCUCUCUCCAUCUUUCCUGCAGCUCCUUCAGGCCCUGCAAGGCCACCCUGAGCUCAGCCCAAAGCUUCUCCUGUGCAGGUGAGCAAUGCCAGCUGUGCCAGCCUUUCCUGCCAGCAGAGCUGCUCCAGCCCUCUGCUCCUCCUGGAGCCUCCUCUGGGCUCUGUGCAGCAGCCCCAGGUCCCUCCUGUGCUGGCCAGGCUGGGGCAGCUCUGCAGGUGGCUCUCAGCUGAGGGCAGAGGGGCACAAUCCCCUCCCCUGCUGCCCGGGCCGGGCCCAGCCCAGGGCAGGGUUGGGCUGGCGGCUCUCGGGGCCGGGCAGGGCCGGCUCUGCCCCGCGGCUCCCCCAGGGCUCUCCCGGGGCUGCUCCGGCUGCUCAGCCCCAGCCUGGAUGGAUCCCGGGGGCUGCCCUGGCCCAGGGGCAGCCCCAGCGCUCGGCCUUGGCAAAGCUCAGCAGAUUCCCAGGGAAUUCCCGCUUCUGGAGCUUAUCCAGGUCCCACUGCCCCCUCAGCUCCUUGUCAUCUGCAAAUAAAUUCAGACCAGUGAAGAAGUGGAUAUUAAGAGUUGCAGGCAGUUCCUGUGAAUGCUGAGAAGAGAUUAGAGAACAAAUACUGAUGAGAAGCAUUUCAAUAACAACCUUUCCCAUGGAGAAAUUCUUUGUGAUGUCCAGCCUGAACUUCCCCUGGCAUAACCUGGGCCUGUUUCCUUUUGUCCUGCCUCUUGUUCCCUGGGAAGAGCCCAGAUUCCACCUGGCUGUAUCCUCUAUGACUUUUUUAAAAAUUUUUUAAGCUUCAGGAACUGCAGACUGCUCCAACGCCAAUGGAAGUUCAUGAGAAAAAACCAAUUUCCUGUUUUGAACAACUGAAGUGAGCAAAGGUGGGAUUAAGGAAUGUGGAAUUCUAAGGAGCCAGAUGAAGAUGGAAGUGAUUGAAGUAUGAGGGAUGUCUUUGUGUUCCUGCUGAAGGUGGAGGGAACCCACCAACUCACACUUUAUGUGCUUUGCCUUCUUUUUGCAGCAUGGGAGUUUUUAGGGCAAAUGUGGGGAAAACAGCUGUGUAAAAUGAGAUGGGAAUUUGUAUCUGCUGGAGCUGGAAGCUCAAAACCUGAAGCCCUGAAGUUCCCAACAGAAAGAUUUGUUCACGCUGUUCACAUCCCUGGAAGGCCAUGGCAUAGUCCUGGAACAGCAGUGGAUUUUGGGAGUGUGUCUGUGUGCUUGUGUAGACAGCUGCUGCUCAUGAUGCUUCAGCCCGUGCUCCUGCUGAGCUGGAGCAGUGGAAAUAUAUAUAUUGGGUUGUUUGAAGUGUUUAACUCACCAGAGCUGCUUCCCAAAACUGAGCACAGCUGCUGUUGAGCUCUUUGUGCACGGUGUGGUGCAGCUCCCUGAGCACAGGCACCUGGUGCUGUUUUGGAAGCACCAGUGAAACCAGGACGUCCAGAGUAGCCACAGCAGAUGCAGGGUGGGUGAAUCAUCAGCUUGAUAUUUAUGCACCAAAGUGUCUCUGCUUUAGUAAUCUGAAUUGUUUCUCAAAACUCAUUCAGAACUAACUUGGGAAUGUGCAUUAGACAGGUCUGUAAAAUAUAACUCUUUAUCAGUCACCAGGUCCUGUGGCCAGUUCUGGGCCCUUGUGGAAAGAGAGCCCUGGAGGGGCCGGAGCGUGGCCAGGGAAGGGAAUGAGCUGGGGAAGGGGCUGGAGCCCCAGGAGGGGCUGAGGGAGCUGGGAAGGGGCUCAGCCUGGAGAAAAGGAGGCUCAGGGGGGCCCUUCUGGCUCUGCACAACUCCUGCCAGGAGGGGACAGCCGGGGGGGUCGGGCUGUGCUCCCAGGGAACAGGGACAGGAGGAGAGGGAACGGCCUCAGGCUGGGCCAGGGCAGGCUCAGGGUGGACAGCAGCAGGAAUUUCUGCAUGGAAAGGGUGCUCAGGCCUUGGCAGGGGCUGCCCAGGGAGGUUUGGAGUGCCCAUCCCUGGAGGUGUCCC